AUUGAACGCUGGCGGCAGGCCUAACACAUGCAAGUCGAGCGGAUGAAGGGAGCUUGCUCCUGGAUUCAGCGGCGGACGGGUGAGUAAUGCCUAGGAAUCUGCCUGGUAUUGGGGGAUAACGUCCGGAAACGGGCGCUAAUACCGCAUACGUCCUGAGGGAGAAAGUGGGGGUUCUUCGGACCUCACGCUAUCAGAUGAGCCUAGGUCGGAUUAGCUAGUUGGUGGGGUAAAGGCCUACCAAGGCGACGAUCCGUAACUGGUCUGAGAGGAUGAUCAGUCACACUGGAACUGAGACACGGUCCAGACUCCUACGGGAGGCAGCAGUGGGGAAUAUUGGACAAUGGGCGAAAGCCUGAUCCAGCCAUGCCGCGUGUGUGAAGAAGGUCUUCGGAUUGUAAAGCACUUUAAGUUGGGAGGAAGGGCAGUAAGUUAAUACCUUGCUGUUUUGACGUUACCAACAGAAUAAGCACCGGCUAACUUCGUG
rnacentral:rRNA from 1 species